AGCUCACUUUGGCAGCACAUAACUAAAAUUGAAACACUACAAAGAAGAUUAGCAUGGCCCCCAGGCAAGAAUGUCAUACAGAUUUGUGAAAGAUUUCAUAUUUUU